rnacentral:rRNA from 1 species
GGGAAUUUUCCGCAAUGGGCGAAAGCCUGACGGAGCAAUACCGCGUGAGGGAGGAAGGCUCUUGGGUUGUAAACCUCUUUUCUCAAGGAAGAAGCUCUGACGGUACUUGAGGAAUCAGCAUCGGCUAACUCCGUGCCAGCAGCCGCGGUAAUACGGAGGAUGCAAGCGUUAUCCGGAAUGAUUGGGCGUAAAGCGUCCGCAGGUGGUGGUGCGUGUCUAUUGUCAAAGC